AGAGUUUGAUCCUGGCUCAGAAUGAACGCUGGCGGCGUGCCUAACACAUGCAAGUCGGACGAGAAAGGCGAAUUUCGGUUUGCCGAGUAAAGUGGCGCACGGGUGAGUAACGCGUGGGUAACCUACCCUUGAGUUGGGGAUAACAGGGCGAAAGCCCUGCUAAUACCCGGUAGAGCCCCGGGGCGGAAGCAACCGGGGGGAAAGCCGGCCGCAAGGCAGGUGCUCGGGGAUGGGCUCGCGUCCUAUCAGCUGGUUGGUAGGGUAACGGCCUACCAAGGCUUCGACGGGUAGCUGGUCUGAGAGGAUGAUCAGCCACACUGGCACUGGAACACGGGCCAGACUCCUACGGGAGGCAGCAGUGAGGAAUUUUGCGCAAUGGGGGAAACCCUGACGCAGCAACGCCGCGUGGGUGAAGAAGGCCUUCGGGUCGUAAAGCCCUGUCAGGUGGGAAGAACCGGCAGGUGAGCAACACGCAUCUGCUCUGACGGUACCACCAGAGGAAGCACCGGCUAACUCCGUGCCAGCAGCCGCGGUAAUACGGAGGGUGCAAGCGUUAUUCGGAAUUACUGGGCGUAAAGCGCGUGCAGGCGGGAAGGAAAGUCUGAUGUGAAAGCCCGGGGCUCAACCCCGGAAGUGCAUUGGAAACUACUUUUCUUGAGUACUGGAGAGGAAGGGGGAAUUCCCGGUGUAGAGGUGAAAUUCGUAGAGAUCGGGAGGAAUAUCAGUGGUGAAGGCGCCCUUCUGGACAGUAACUGACGCUGAGACGCGAAAGCGUGGGGAGCAAACAGGAUUAGAUACCCUGGUAGUCCACGCUGUAAACGAUGAGAACUGGGUGUAGCGGGUACUCAUUCCUGCUGUGCCGUAGCUAACGCGUUAAGUUCUCCGCCUGGGGAGUACGGCCGCAAGGUUAAAACUCAAAGGAAUUGACGG
rnacentral:rRNA from 1 species